rnacentral:rRNA from 1 species
AACGAACGCUGGCGGCAUGCCUAACACAUGCAAGUCGAACGAGACCUCCGGGUCUUGUGGCGCACGGCUGCGUACCGCGUGGGAACUUGCCCUUAGGUUCGCAAUAACUCACCGAAAGGGGUGCUAAUACCGGUUAAUCUCUUCGCACCAAAGAUUUAUCGCCUUAGGGUGGGCCCGCGUUGGUUUAGCUAGUUGGGAGGGGAAAAGCCUGCCAAGGCGAGGAUCCAGAGCUGGUCGGAGAGCAGGACAUGCCACGCUGGGGCUGAGACCCGGCCCAGACUCCUACGGGGAGGAGCAGUGGAGAAUAUUGGAGGCUGGGCGAAAGUCUGAUCCAGCAGCGCCGCGUAAGUGAUGAAGGCGUUAGGGUUGUAAAGCUCUUUUUCACGGGAUGAUAAUGACAGUACCGGGAGAAUAAGCACCGGCUAACUACGUG